rnacentral:rRNA from 1 species
GAUGAACGCUUACAUCCUUCUUAACACAUGCAAGUCUACUUGAACUUCGGUUUGGGUGGCGGACGGGUGAGUAACGCGUAAAGAACUUGCCUCACAGUUAGGGACAACAUUUGGAAACGAAUGCUAAUACCUGAUAUUAUGAUUUUAGGGCAUCCUAAAAUUAUGAAAGCUAUAUGCGCUGUGAGAGAGCUUUGCGUCCCAUUAGCUAGUUGGAGAGGUAGCGGCUCACCAAGGCGAGGCUGGGUAGCCGGCCUGAGCGCGUGAACGGCCACACGCGGACUGAGACACGGCCCUUACUCCUACGGGAGGCAGCAGUGGGGAAUAUUGGACAAUGGACCAAAAGUCUGAUCCAGCAAUUCUGUGUGCACGAUGACGUUUUUCGGAAUGUAAAGUGCUUUCAGUUGGGAAGAAAAAAAUGACGGUACCAACAGAAGAAGUGACGGCUAAAUACGUG